rnacentral:rRNA from 1 species
GGUUGUUGGGUUGCCCGAGUAGCAGCGGGCUCGUGGAAUCUGCUGUGAAUCUGCCGGGACCACCCGGUAAGCCUAAAUACUCAGUGUGACCGAUAGUGUAUGAGUACCGUGAGGGAAUGGUGAAAAGUACCCCGGGAGGGGAGUGAAAUAGUUCCUGAAACCAUGUGCUUACAAUCCGUCAGAGCACUUUUUGUUGUGUGAUGGCGUGCCUUUUGAAGAAUGAGCCUGCGAGUCAGCGGCAUGUCGCGAGGUUAACCCGUGUGGGGUAGCCGUAGGGAAACCGAAUCCUAAUGGGGUGUUUUAGUGGCGUGUCCUGGACCCGAAGCGGGGUGAUCUACCCAUGGCCAGUGUGAAGCAGUAGUAAGAUGCUGUGGAGGCGCGAACCCACGUAGGUUGAAAACUGCGGGGAUGAGCUGUGGGUAGGGGUGAAAGGCCAAUCAAACUCCGUGAUAGCUGGUUCUCCCCGAAAUGCAUUUAGGUGCAGCGUCGCAUUAGCUUGGUGGAGGUAGAGCUACUGGUUGGUUGAGCGGGACUACAAUCUUAGCAAUGUCAGCCAAACUCCGAAUGCCAUCAAUUGUGUUGUGCGGCAGUGAGACUGUGGGGGAUAAGCUUCAUAGUCGAGAGGGAAACAGCCCAGAUCGCCGGUUAAGGCCCCUAAGGGUGUGCUAAGUGGAAAAGGAUGUGGGAUCGCGAAGACAGCCAGGAGGUUGGCUUAGAAGCAGCCAUCCUUGAAAGAGUGCGUAAUAGCUCACUGGUCGAGUGGUCCUGCGCCGACAAUGUAGUGGGGCUCAAGCACACCGCCGAAGCCGCGGCAAACAUUUUUU